UACGAAGGGGGCUAGCGUUGCUCGGAAUCACUGGGCGUAAAGCGCACGUAGGCGGGUUGUUAAGUCGGGGGUGAAAUCCUGGAGCUCAACUCCAGAACUGCCUUCGAUACUGGCGACCUUGAGUCCGGGAGAGGUGAGUGGAACUCCGAGUGUAGAGGUGAAAUUCGUAGAUAUUCGGAAGAACACCGGUGGCGAAGGCGGCAUCCUGGACCGACACUGACACUGAGGAGCGAAAGCCAGGGAGCAAACGGG
rnacentral:rRNA from 1 species